rnacentral:rRNA from 1 species
ACGGAACGAAACGGUCCGGGUUAAUACCCUGGGCUAAUGACGGUACCGUAAGAAUAAGCACCGGCUAACUACGUGCCAGCAGCCGCGGUAAUACGUAGGGUGCAAGCGUUAAUCGGAAUUACUGGGCGUAAAGCGUGCGCAGGCGGUUUUGUAAGACAGGCGUGAAAUCCCCGGGCUCAACCUGGGAAUUGCGCUUGUGACUGCAAGGCUGGAGUGCGGCAGAGGGGGAUGGAAUUCCGCGUGUAGCAGUGAAAUGCGUAGAUAUGCGGAGGAACACCGAUGGCGAAGGCAAUCCCCUGGGCCUGCAC